UACGUAGGGUGCAAGCGUUGUCCGGAAUUAUUGGGCGUAAAGAGCUCGUAGGCGGUUUGUCGCGUCUGCUGUGGAAAACUGGGGGGCUCAACCCCCCAGCCUGCAGUGGGUACGGGCAGACUAGAGUGCGGUAGGGGGAGAUUGGAAUUCCUGGUGUAGCGGUGGAAUGCGCAGAUAUCAGGAGGAACACCAAUGGCGAAGGCAGAUCUCUGGGCCGUAGCUGACGCUGAGGAGCGAAAGCAUGGGGGAGCGAACAGGG
rnacentral:rRNA from 1 species